GGUGGUGGUGGGGGUAGUACACUCGCCCGGCGCUGAGUAAUUUGCAUUCAGCGGCGCUCGUGCCCGACGCCGCCGCCGUCGACGCCAACGCCUCGCGACACCUCCGCUCCCCAUCAUCGUCGAGUAUUGAUCGCGUACGCACGAUUCACCCUUUUCGGUAGUGGCGGAGAGGGGUGCGGGGGCGUAGGGGUGUGUCGCGUUAUAACUUGCGCGCGUGUCGUGCUUUUUGUUUUUAUUUCUCUAUAAACGAUUUAUCGUUGCGCGAGAGAGUAAGCGAGCGGUGGUCGUCGUCGUCGCGCCGUCGUUGUGUGAAAGAGAAACGGAAUAAUAAUAAUAAUAAUAAUAAUACUAGAAAACGAGAAUAAAAAAAAAAAAUUUGCAGACCCUUCGCGUGUACGCGACCCUUUUUAUUUUGCGUGCGUAAUGCCAGGCGAAGGGAGAGAGUUCGUUGACACGUCGCGGUCGUGUGUAAAAAGGGGACGAUGGCGAUGACUAACGCGAUGAAAUCACGGACAGACAGCGCAGAGCUGUCAUGCGAACAACAUCCGCGUGCACACGACCUGUGUACUAUACAUCAUUAUACCGUUAGCGCCGCCUGGCCGCGUGGGCACUGUGCAGAGGGCCACCAAUCUCCGUCGUCACACGGCGGUUUUGGAAACCGUCCGUCUUCGGUGUAGUGAUGCUCUACAUCUACCCUGUAGAUCCGAAUUUGUUUGAAAAACGGCGACAAAUUCGGUUCUAGAGAGGUUUGUGUGGUGCAUAUUCCUUACGACCAGAAUUUUUAUCGUCUAUUCGUGGUGGCCCCGACGGCAGAUUAGUUGUUAUAUUAUAUACCUAUAUAUAUUAUAUUAUAUUAUACAUUUGUAUCUAUUAUUAUUAUACACAUUAAACAUAUUUAUUUAUAAACAUUGAUCAUCAACAUAACCAGAUUAUGUUGUGUACUUUUUUUAGUUAUAAUAUUUUUUAUGACUGAAAUAUACAAACAAUUAUUAUUAUAGCUAUAUAAACAAACAUCAACGUUUCAAUUCACACAUUUUAAAACAUUUGUAAUACCAAAUAUUGCUCGACGGUUACAAUAGAAAACCAUCUUAACGAUACAUUUGUAAACACUACGUACCUAAGAAAAUAAUGUUUUGAAUUAUAUUACUACAUAAUUAUAUGUAUGAAUAUUUGUUAUAUUAAACAAUGUAAUUAAUCAUAAGGUUUUGUAAAGUGAAAUUUGAAUUUAUAUUAAUUACCCAAUUUUAGUAGGUAUUUUUACAUUAAUAAAAUUAGAUUUAAUACCAUAUGUUACUUUUAUUUUU